rnacentral:sRNA from 1 species
ACAAUAGAGAAUAGAGAGACCCAGGGCCUGCCAUCCCAUAUGGUCCAGGAGACAGGCCAGUAGCAGAAACUCCCACAGCACAGGUGGCGGUGCGCAUGGCUCUGAGGGGGAUAGAGAGCAAAAUUUGAGAGCCCACCUGGUAUGUGCUAGGGAGUCCAAAAAGCCUGCACAGGGAGCCUCCAGUUCAUUUACGCAGAGCAGGUCCACACCUCCCUGCUUUACCAAUUGGCAGUGUUGGGCUUGGGAUGCCCCUCAUCCUGUCCUGGGGUGCCCACCUCUGCCUCUGCCCCUCCCCCUGCCCCACAGCCGCAGAGACCUGGACAUUAACCGGCCUGGAACGGUGCCCAAUGCCAAGACGCUCCGGUGAGUGGCCCCUGGCCCUCUGGCCUGCCCUGGCCUUUGCCCCCAUGACCCAGCCAGACAGCCCUUUUCCUCUGUAUCUGCAGCUGCCCUGUGAUGCUGGUGGUUGGGGAUAAUGCACCCGCUGAGGACGGGGUGGUGGAGUGCAACUCCAAACUGGACCCGACCACUACGACCUUCCUGAAGAUGGCAGACUCUGGAGGGCUGCCC